ACGCCGCCGUCGCGCGAAGUGAACGCCAAACGUGACGCGAUCAGCUCCGCACACCGCCAUGUGAUCGUUAUCGGAAUAUUUAUUACAACCGCCGUCGCACCACGGCCGAAUCUCCGAAACGCGAAAACCGACGCCGUCGCCGACAAUUAGUGUUUUUUUUUUUUCUGUGUGUACGUUUUUCCAUUUGGUUCCGCCGUAAACACGGCCGUCGCAAUCGCGUUUACCGAAUAAUACCUGUACUGUACCUGCAUAGGCGUCAUUUUAUUUGUCUGGCAAAAACGGCCGGACGUUCGUAACGCGACGUCGCCGUCCGUGACCCG